rnacentral:rRNA from 1 species
AGCGUAGGUUCCGGGCGUUAUCCGGAUUUACUGGGCGUAAAGCGCGUUCAGGCGGUUCGGCAAGUCGGGCAUGAAAUCUCUCGGCUCAACCGGGAGAGGUUGUCCGAUACUGCUGGACUUGAGGGCAGUAGAGGGUGGUGGAAUUCCGGGUGUAGUGGUGAAAUGCGUAGAUAUCCGGAGGAACACCAGUGGCGAAGGCGGCUCACUGGACGACUGUUGACGCUGAGGUGCGAAAGCGUGGGGAGCAAACAGG